AGUCGAGCGGACAGAUGGGAGCUUGCUCCCUGAUGUUAGCGGCGGACGGGUGAGUAACACGUGGGUAACCUGCCUGUAAGACUGGGAUAACUCCGGGAAACCGGGGCUAAUACCGGAUGGUUGUCUGAACCGCAUGGUUCAGACAUAAAAGGUGGCUUCGGCUACCACUUACAGAUGGACCCGCGGCGCAUUAGCUAGUUGGUGAGGUAACGGCUCACCAAGGCGACGAUGCGUAGCCGACCUGAGAGGGUGAUCGGCCACACUGGGACUGAGACACGGCCCAGACUCCUACGGGAGGCAGCAGUAGGGAAUCUUCCGCAAUGGACGAAAGUCUGACGGAGCAACGCCGCGUGAGUGAUGAAGGUUUUCGGAUCGUAAAGCUCUGUUGUUAGGGAAGAACAAGUGCCGUUCAAAUAGGGCGGCACCUUGACGGUACCUAACCAGAAAGCCACGGCUAAC
rnacentral:rRNA from 2 species